GCGUCCUGAUCCUGGCAAAGUUGCUCUCUUCACCAGAGCAGUGGUGGAGAGAUUCAGGGUAGACGCAGAUCAGCUUCUCUCAGUUUAGGAGGGCUGCCAAAGAAAUGUGCAUGCCCUUAAAGGCACGAGAGGACAUC
rfam:Alligator mississippiensis ScZkoYb_11, whole genome shotgun sequence.